rnacentral:rRNA from 1 species
CACUCCUGCGGGAGGCAGCAGUGGGGAAUUUUGGACAAUGGGCGAAAGCCUGAUCCAGCAAUGCCGCGUGAGUGAAGAAGGCCUUCGGGUUGUAAAGCUCUUUUGUCAGGGAAGAAACGGUGAGAGCUAAUAUCUUUUGCUAAUGACGGUACCUGAAGAAUAAGCACCGGCUAACUACGUGCCAGCAGCCGCGGUAAUACGUAGGGUGCAAGCGUUAAUCGGAAUUACUGGGCGUAAAGCGUGCGCAGGCGGUUUUGUAAGUCUGAUGUGAAAUCCCCGGGCUCAACCUGGGAAUUGCAUUGGAGACUGCAAGGCUAGAAUCUGGCAGAGGGGGGUAGAAUUCCACGUGUAGCAGUGAAAUGCGUAGAUAUGUGGAGGAACACCGAUGGCGAAGGCAGCCCCCUGGGUCAAGAUUGACGCUCAUGCACGAAAGCGUGGGGAGCAAACAGGAUUAGAUACCCCAGUAGUCC